rnacentral:rRNA from 1 species
GCCAGCACCGCGGUAAUUCCAGCUCCAAUAGCGUAUAUUAAAGUUGUUGUGGUUAAAAAGUUCGUAGUUGAACCUUGGGCCUGGCUGGCCGUUCCCCCUCACCGGGUGCACUGAUCCAGCCGGGCCUUUCCCUCUGUGGAACCCCAUGGCCUUCACUGGCUGUGGCGGGGAAACAGGACUUUUACUUUGAAAAAAUUAGAGUGCUCCAGGCAGGCCUAUGCUCGAAUACAUUAGCAUGGAAUAAUAGAAUAGGACGUGUGGUUAUAUUUUGUUGGUUUCUAGGACCGCCGUAAUGAUUAAUAGGGACAGUCGGGGGCAUCAGUAUUCAAUUGUCAGAGGUGAAAUUCUUGGAUCUAUUGAAGACUAACUACUGCGAAAGCAUUUGCCAAGGAUGUUUUCAUUGAUAAGGGACGAAAGUUAGGGGAUCGAAGAAGAUCC